rnacentral:rRNA from 1 species
ACGCUCGACACCUACGGGAGACAGCAGUGGGGAAUAUUGCACAAUGGGGGAAACCCUGAUGCAGCGACGCCGCGUGAGCGAAGAAGUAUUUCGGUAUGUAAAGCUCUAUCAGCAGGGAAGAAAAUGACGGUACCUGACUAAGAAGCCCCGGCUAACUACGUGCCAACAGCCGCGGUAAUCUGAGCGGGCUGGCAAGGC